CAAUAUGAGAAGAUUUGGUUUCAUUGGGCUCCAGCUACUGUAAUUAGCUUCAUUUUGCAAGGUGCCUAGGAGAGCAGGAUUUUUGGCAAGGCAAAGUGUAACCAUCUGAGAAAUGGGCAUGGUGCCACUGAAACAGAUGGAUGCAGAAGGAAAACAGACUUCAUGAACGUGUUUGAAGAGGGCAGUCUGUGUUACACAUUAAGACGUGUCCUAACUGGCCAAAGGGCUGUUGGUUCCCCUAGCCAUGAUACGCAAUGACACGUAUUGAGCAAAGCAUUCAAAGCAGAAUGAGGGGGGAAGGAAGGGGGAACCAGCACCAGGAAGCAGCCAGUUGUAUUCAGUUGCUACUCCAGCUGUUCUGUCCCUGCUCCCACUACUUUUGACAUGGAGAAUGAGUAUGAAGUCAAGAAUGUUUUAAACAUGAAGAGAGUUAAAAGUAAAACCUGAUGGACUGCAAAGGAUUCAGUCCAGAAGAGAGAUCCUGGGAGUUUGCUGAAAACAUCAUCGCUUCAGCCCUUCUGAAUACAUUUCUACAGUCUGGACCAAAGAAGAGGAGGUAUAAGAAGGCAGGUACUGGUAUACCAGUAGUAAGUGCCCACCAUCAUAGACACAUCUGCCAGAGUGCUCACCCAGUCUUGGUUCCGUCCUUCCGGUGGUGAGUGCUCGUAGGUGUCCUGUUGACCAUCCCCAGUGGGCAAUAUUGGGAUGCUCUGCCACUUAACACUAGCUGCAGCCAUAUUCUACCUCCUGACAGCUCUGCCUCUGCUCCUGGAGCCUAUGGCAUGCCCUCUCUCUCUGUAUAUUAAAGGGACAGCUCAAACACCUUAGUCUUCCACAGUCAAUGGCCGGUACCUAAGCAGUAGGUUCUAGUACUCUAGUGAGCUGCAAAGGUGUGCUGUUUCUUGUCUGCUUGUGAACCGACUUUUACCUGAUCUCCAGAUUUGACCCUUUACUGCCCUUGGCUUCUGCAUGUUCUCUGUUCUGACCCUGUGCUGCGUAGCUGACCCUCAAAUUGGCCCUUGGAUUAUAUGCCCUGCCCUGACCUCGGCUUCUCCCUGACUACAGUUUUUGCUUCAAACUUUGGUACUCUGUGUCUCUUCACCGCAAUCAGUCAGCAGUCUGCUGAACAGACACUACUCCUAAAGGUAGCAGCCUGGUGGUCCCCCUGCAGCAGAGUUCAGAUUUCUGUAUAGGGGUUAAAGGGUGACUACCAGGGUAGUUUUAAUAUCUCUUCAGAGGACACAGCGAAUCCAUAUUCUCUUCAUAACAAUAGGUAUUAGAUGUCUGACCUCUGGGGGUUCAACUGCUGAGACCCCACCAAUCACAGGAAUGGUGCACUGCCACUAAAUUCAUCUCUAUGGAACUGCCAAAGGGAAGCCAAGUACAUCACUCAGUUAUUUUUGUAAGUUCAAAACAGAUGAAUGUGUUCUUCUUCACCCAUAGAGGAAGAAACACCCACCUGCAUGUUGGUUCACGGGCCAGAAAUCUCGCCCAGCCCUGACAAUCUUGCGCCUGCUCUGCUGCUUCGACUAGCGGUGAAAGUGCAGAGGCUCUGAUUGUCCCACCUGGCCCUGUGGAUCAACAGGCAGAUAGGCACUUCUUCGCCUGUAAUGGCAGUCCCUCACAGGUGAAUAACUCUGGCUGUUGAGACAAAUUGAUUGCUUAGAAUUGAUUUGCUUCUCUCUAGUUAUCUUCCAUCAGCUCUCGUACUGCUUGAACUUCGGGCACUGUAAUACAGCACUAACCGGCAGUAUGCUUAGUUUAUUAGGGCUGAUCAUGCUGAUAGAUGCUCUUUAAAUGUCCAAAAACGACAUCUUG